GCAACAUUCAGCAGCGGCCCGCCACGCUGCACACGGGGGCGCAAACGCCGUCGGACGCCGGCGAGGCGGAGGGUGACCGGGGGUGCGAGACGCACCAGCCAGCUGGCGACACGGAUCUCACUUCGCCCACGGACUCGGUCAACGGCCAGAGCGACUAGGUCAGGUCAGCGGCCGCCCGGCCGGCAGCGGCCGCCAGAGGCGCCACCUGUCCCACGGGAGGCACACCCGGUGUCAGACGUGUGCGAGCUCACGUCGGCGGGAGCUGCUGACCUGACCUGCUGGAGGUCCGCCCGGUCAACGGCGGACGGGGUGGCAGGGCUGGCUCCGGGGAUGGCAGGCCGGCAGAGUCAGUCGCCUGUAGUGAGUGUUGCGUCGGCACUGUCCCAGGCCCGCACAUGCCUGGACCGUGUCCGUCGUAUACAUGCGUACUGAGACGUGUAGUGCGACUCAAUGGGCGUGUGUGACGUUGGCUGUUGUGUGUGCACUGAAGCUAGUAAUGACUUCGCAUGGAUCUGUCUUGAGGGUAUGUGAGGGUUGUUUGGGUUGUCUGCCUGCUGACUUGGCUGACGAGAACGCAAUUCAUUUAUGAUUAGAUGUGCCUUAUAUGUUCAUUUUUAGUAUGCAUAUUGUUUGGGCUCACGUAUGCAAUUAACUGUUUGAACUCUGCGGGGUCAUAUAGCCACACACAGAUAUGUAUGUUGCGGCGCGUUGAGUGAAAUUAUGUUGCCUUAUCUUGGUAUAGCACUAUUACGGACAGGCUGGCAUGUACUCUUAUACCACCAGUGAGCGGGAGCCUCUUCAGCCCAUUCUGUCCGGUUGAUAAGAACGCUAACCCGAAGCGUAGGGUUGAAAACACACGAUGUGGUGAAGUACUGCUGCUUUUAUGUAACCUUUCUGGGUUGUGUUUGCCCGAAAUGAAUUCGUGCAUUUCAGGUGUUACUGUGAUAAUUUCCGAGCACUUUUUCAGACAAAAUGCCAGUGGUGAUAAAAGGCCGGAAUAAAAGCAGAUAAAGUUUCACUA